rnacentral:rRNA from 1 species
CCUGCCGUUGCCGGCGACCGGCGCACGGGUGAGUAACACGUAUGCAACCUGCCCGUGGCAGGGGGGAUAAGCGGGGGAAACCCCGUCUAAUACCGCGUAACGCGGCCUAGGGACAUCCCAAGGCCGCCAAAGGGAGCAAUCCCGGCCACGGAUGGGCAUGCGGCGCAUUAGCUAGUCGGCGGGGUAACGGCCCACCGAGGCGACGAUGCGUAGGGGUUCUGAGAGGAAGGCCCCCCACACUGGUACUGAGACACGGACCAGACUCCUACGGAAGGCAGCAG